GACCUUUAGGUUAUUGGCUAUGUAUAUAUAGCCUACUCUGUUUUAGUUAGUUUUAUGCUUUUCAGAUUAUAUUGUAAACCUUAGCCUUUCUUCCCUUCAAUAAAGUUCUAUUAACAUGGUAUCAAAGCUAGUUCGAUCCAUGUCCUUUGAUUUGUUGGUUGAAGAUUUUGUAGCAGGCACCUAUUGCGCGGAUCGAACUCCGCGGUGAGUUCGCUGGGGGGUACGGGGGGCAGCGCGCCCCCGUCCGGGGUUCGGGGCGGAGCCCCGAAUUUUUUUUGAGGUGCUGCUGUAUUCGUUUGCUAUUUUCGUUGGGUUUUUUGGUUGGAUUGAUUCGUUGCUGUCUUCGUUUGCUGUCUGGUAUUGUUCGUCUUUCGUUCUUUUGCUUGCUG
rnacentral:lncRNA from 1 species